rnacentral:lncRNA from 1 species
GUGGUUUCAGAGGAGUUGCAAUGACAAACUGUUGAAGUAGUAAUAAAGCAAAUAAGUUCAAAGGGGCAUAACUCCUAGAAAAAAAAAUGAAUUGUAAUUUCCUGUUGAUAUGCACAUCUACAUAGUAUGUCCUUAUUAUCUACAAAGUUUCAUGAAAUUCUGUUGUGUGGAUUCAGGAGAGUUGCAAUAACAAACUGUUGAAGUAG